ensembl:lncRNA
UCCACCUGUGGCACCAGCAUCCCAUAUGGGCACGGGUUCUAGACCUGGUUGCCCCUCUUCCAGUGCAGCUCUCUGCUGUGGCCUAGGAGGGCAAUGGAGGAUGGCCCAAGUGCUUGGGCCCUGCACCUGCAUGGGAGACCAGGAGGGAGUACCUGGCUCCUGGCUUCAGAUUGGCGCAGCACCGGCCGCGGCAGCCAUUUGGGGAGUGAACCAACAGAAGGAAGGAAGACCGUUUUCUCUCUCUCUCACUGUAAUUCUGUCAAAUAAAUAAAUAUUUUAAAAAAGUAGCUUCCAAGGCCGGCGCCGCGGCUCACUAGGCUAAUCCUCUGCCUUGCGGUGCCGGCACACCAGGUUCUAGUCCCAGUUGCCCCUCUUCCAGGCCAGCUCUCUGCUGUGGCCCGGGAGUGCAGUGGAGGAUGGCCCAAGUGCUUGGGCCCUGCACCCCAUGGGAGACCAGGAGGAAGCACCUGGCUUCUGCCAUCGGAUCAGCGCGAUGCUCUGGCCGCAGUGGCCAUUGGGGGGUGAACCAACAGAAAAGGAAGACCUUUCUCUCUGUCUCUCUCUCUCUCACUGUCCACUCUGCCUGUCAAAAAAAAAAAAAAAAAGCUUCCAGAAGACAUUUUUUCCAACUACUUAAAAAAUAGGCAUUUUUUUUAACUGUUACACUCGUGAACAUCUUUACACCUAGACCGCCUAGAUGUAGCAAACAUGUUUUUUUUAAAGGUUGAGGGGAAUGUUGAGUUUUCUCACGUUAUAGACCUAGGCCUUCUAAAAGGGUCAGGAGAUCCUAACUGGGGAUUUCCGGCUGCCAGUUUCUCCCCACACCAACGGCUGAGGGAGCCCAGCCCAGCGGCCGCGGGCUUCUGCCCGGGGAUCGCUCACUUGCUGGCCCUUAAGGUCUCUGUUGGCCGUGGUGAGCACAAGACCCCGCCCCCGGGCAUCGGCGCCUUGGAGGUGGCCGCCGUUUUGCUCAGCCCGCCAGCCUAUGGAGGCACCGCGUCUUGCCGCUCCUCGGGAGAGCCUCGGGCAGGCCCUGAGCCAUCACCUCACAGAGAGCACUGA